UCUGGCGAAUCCAUAACAUAUCUAUAUGUAUAUAUAUUUGUGUGUGUCCCCCCCCUCUACACUUGACAACUGAUGUUGGUGUGUUUAUGUCUCCGAAACUUAGUAGUUCAUCAAAAGAGACCAAUAGAAUAAGCAUUAGGCUCACAAAGAGUAAGUCCUGGGUUCGAUUUCUUCAACUAAAGUCGGUGCUCCAGCAUGGCUGCAGUCAAAUGACUGAAACAUGUAAAAGAGUAAAGAGUAUACAACAGGCUUCUUUCUACCAAAUCUGCUCACAAGGCUUUGGUUGGCCUAAGACUAUUUGUAGAAGACACUUGCCCAAGGGGCCACACAGUGGGUCUGAACCCAGAACCAUGCGGUUGGGAAGCAAGCUUCGUACCACACAGCCACGCCUGUGUCUGAUAUGAAGAAAUAUUGGUUUAAAAUAUUGGCACAAAUCCAGUAAUUUUGAUGGGAGGGGGUAAGUUGAGUACAUCGACUCCAGUACUCAAAUGGUACUUAUUUUAGCGUCCCUGAAAGGGAUGAAGAGUAAAGUUGAACCCCAGUGGAAUUUGAACUCACUAUGUAAAGACAGACGAAAUGCUGCUAAGCAUUUUGCUCAGUGUUCUUACAAUUCUUAUUUCUUUAUUGUCCACAAGGGGCUAAACAUAGAGAGGACAAACAAGGAUAGACAAAGGGAUUAAGUCGAUUAUAUCGCCUCCAGUGCGUAACUGGUACUUAUUUAAUCGACCCCGAAAGGCAAAGUCGACCUUGGUGGAAUUUGAACUCAGAACGUAACAGCAGACGAAAUACAGCUAAGCAUUUCGUCCGGCGUGCUAACGUUUCUGCCAGCUCUCCGCCUUCUAACGAUUCAGUGUUCUACCGAUUCUGCCAACUGAUGCCUUGUAUGAAGAAAUAUUAAAAAAAAAAGAAAAAAAAAGAAGUCAAAGAACAUAGACAAAAGCGAAAAAAGUUAAUAAGUGUGAAUUUAGUAUUGAAUUAUUUAAUUUGAAAUGAUAACAUAAUAAAUAUCUCCAGGUAAAAUGAACAUUUCUUUAAAGAAAGCUUAAAAUAUUGAUUCCUAACAUUGGCACAAGGCCACAAAAUUUUUUUUGUGGGGGUAGGGUUUAAUCAAUUAAAUCGAUCCCAAUACAUGACUGGUACUUUAUUUUAUCGACCCCUGGAAGGAUGAAAGGCAAAGUUGACCUCGGCAGGAUUCGAACUUAGAAUGAAAGAGGAACAUAACUAAAUACUCGUGAGGCAUUUUGUCUGGAUGCUCUACCGAUUCUGUCAAUUCUUUUUUUUUUUCUUUUUGUUUACUGCCUUUUGAAAUCUUGAACGCAAUUUUUUAAAUUGUUCAGAAAUUUGAAGAAUUCGUGGUCAAGCCAAAAGCCGUGAGUGUGCAUAUAAAAAUAAGGGAAAGAGGUAACACAGGAAAGUAGAAUUGUACAGCCAUAUUUUGGAAGAAGGGAACAGAGGGGAGAGGAAAGAGAA